UGAAGUAUCGUAACCGCAAGGAGCGUCCUAGGGUAAACCGGUAACUGGGGCU
rnacentral:rRNA from 1 species